AUUAUACAUAGUUUCUUGUAAAGGAUUCUUCAGAGAAAUCAUUUUUCGCUUGUGGAAUAUAGAAUACACGUUUUAUAAUACGCGUGCGAAGAAGAGAAGUGGCAAAAGUGACGACGAGGAUUUUUGUUACGACUUGUGACACACGAACUGAUGAUUAUCAAAGCGAAGUUUAUAUCAAAGUUGGAUCGGCUAAUGUUACAGGAAGCUGUAAU